ensembl:snoRNA
AUCCUUUUGUAGUUCCUAAGCAUGAUGAUUGGGUUUUCAUGAGCUGUGCCUCUCUCCAACCCUGUUAUGAAGUGAGCCCCGUUACUCAUCUGAUA